rnacentral:rRNA from 1 species
ACCGGCGCACGGGUGCGUAACACGUAUGCAAUCUGCCUUGUACUGGAGCAUAGCCCUCGGAAACGAAGAUUAAUACUCCAUACAGUCUUACUAGCGCAUGCUAGUAAGAUGAAAGCUCCGGCGGUACAAGAUGAGCAUGCAUCCCAUUAGCUUGUUGGUGAGAUAACAGCUCACCAAGGCUACGAUGGGUAGGGGUUCUGAGAGGAAGAUCCCCCACACUGGCACUGAGAUACGGGCCAGACUCCUACGGGAGGCAGCAGUAGGGAAUAUUGGUCAAUGGGCGCAAGCCUGAACCAGCCAUGCCGCGUGCAGGAUGAAGGCCUUCAGGGUUGUAAACUGCUUUUGUAUGGGAAUAAAAAAGUCCUUGCGAGGACUCUUGAAGGUACCAUAAGAAUAGGCACCGGCUAACUCCGUGCCAGCAGCCGCGGUAAUACGGAGGGUGCAAGCGU